UGAGUGUUAUGAUGAUGGAGCAGUUCUUUUAAGCUGUUCUUAGUCUAGCUCUGGUCUACCGCUAGGACCUUUCCUAGCGG
rfam:Streptococcus equi subsp. zooepidemicus H70, complete genome